GGCAAUGUGUCUGAGUGGUUAAGGAGCGUGACUAGAAUGAGAGCCCAUAGAUCCUUCUCUAAGGGAUCCAAAUCAAAUCACGUGGGUUCGCCCGCGUAGGUUCAAAUCCUGCCAUUGUCG
rnacentral:tRNA from 2 species